rnacentral:rRNA from 1 species
CCUACGGGGGGCUGCAGUCGAGAGGCUUCGGCAAUGGACGAAAGUCUGACCGAGCGACGCCGCGUGCGGGAUUGAAGGUCGUGAGAUUGUAAACCGCUGUCAGCAGGGAAGAAUGCCCGAAUGGUGAAUUCGGGAGAGACGGUACCUGCAGAGGAAGCCCCGGCUAACUCCGUGCCAGCAGCCGCGGUAAUACGGAGGGGGCGAACGUUGUUCGGAUUUACUGGGCGUAAAGGGUGCGUAGGCGGUUCGGUCAGUCUGGUGUGAAAAUUCGUCGCUUAACGACGAAAACGCAUCGGAAACUGCCGAGCUCGAGGGUGGAAGAGGCAGGUGGAAUUCCCGGUGUAGCGGUGGAAUGCGUAGAGAUCGGGAAGAACACUCGUGGCGAAGGCGGCCUGCUGGUCCAUUUCUGACGCUGAGGCACGAAAGCCAGGGGAGCAAACGGGCUUAGAUACCCCGGUAGUC